rnacentral:rRNA from 1 species
AUUAAACGCUGGCGGCAUGCCUUACACAUGCAAGUCGAACGGCAGCACGGGGGCAACCCUGGUGGCGAGUGGCGGACGGGUGAGUAAAGCAUCGGAACGUAUCCUGGAGUGGGGGAUAACGUAGCGAAAGUUACGCUAAUACCGCAUAUUCUGUGAGCAGGAAAGCAGGGGAUCGCAAGACCUUGCGCUCUGGGAGCGGCCGAUGUCGGAUUAGCUAGUUGGUGGGGUAAAGGCCUACAAGGCGACGAUCCGUAGCGGGUCUGAGAGGAUGAUCCGCCACACUGGGACUGAGACACGGCCCAGACUCCUACGGGAGGCAGCAGUGGGGAAUUUUGGACAAUGGGCGCAAGCCUGAUCCAGCCAUGCCGCGUGAGUGAAGAAGGCCU